rnacentral:rRNA from 1 species
AGAGUUUGAUCCUGGCUCAGGAUGAACGCUGGCGGCGUGCUUAACACAUGCAAGUCGAACGAUGAUCCGGUGCUUGCACCGGGGAUUAGUGGCGAACGGGUGAGUAACACGUGAGUAACCUGCCCUUGACUCUGGGAUAAGCCUGGGAAACUGGGUCUAAUACUGGAUACGACCUUCCCACGCAUGUGGUGUUGGUGGAAAGCUUUUGUGGUUUUGGAUGGACUCGCGGCCUAUCAGCUUGUUGGUGGGGUAAUGGCCUACCAAGGCGACGACGGGUAGCCGGCCUGAGAGGGUGGACGGCCACACUGGGACUGAGACACGGCCCAGACUCCUACGGGAGGCAGCAGUGGGGAAUAUUGCACAAUGGGCGCAAGCCUGAUGCAGCGACGCCGCGUGAGGGAUGAAGGCCUUCGGGUUGUAAACCUCUUUCAGUAGGGAAGAAGCGAAAGUGACGGUACCUGCAGAAGAAGCGCCGGCUAACUACGUGCCAGCAGCCGCGGUAAUACGUAGGGCGCAAGCGUUAUCCGGAAUUAUUGGGCGUAAAGAGCUCGUAGGCGGUUUGUCGCGUCUGCCGUGAAAGUCCGGGGCUUAACUCCGGAUCUGCGGUGGGUACGGGCAGACUUGAGUGAUGUAGGGGAGACUGGAAUUCCUGGUGUAGCGGUGAAA